UAGGAGCCAACAACCAGGAGCCCUGGCAACCAGCCAGCAAGAGGACAGAGGCUUCAGUCCUACAACCACAAGGAUAUGAAUUUGCCAACAGUCAUAUCUGCUUGGAUAAAGGACCUUGACCUACAGGAAGAAAUGCAGCCUAGCCAAUCCUUUACUUCAAUUUGUGAAACCCUGAGCAGAGGAGACCUAGUUCAGAUGCUGUCAAGAGAAUGAGAAGAUAAGCCACAAAGUGGGAGAAAAAUUUGCAGUGGACAUAACUGAUAAAGGACUGUUGUCCAAAAUAUACCAAAAACUCAAAACUCAACAAGAGAAUGAACAACCUGAUUUAAAAAUGGACAAAAGACCAGAACAUCUCAGCAAAGAAGAUACAUGGAAGGCAAAUAAGCAUAUGGAAAGAUACACCACAUGAUAUGUCAUUAAGGAAAUGCAAACCAAAACAACAAUGAAGUACUCCCACAUGCCUAUUAGAAUGGCUCAAAUAUAGAACAGUGAUAUCACCAAAUGUUGCUGAAGAUGUGGAACAAUAGGAACUCUCAUUCCCUGCUGGUGAAAAUGCAAAAUGGUGCAGGCACUGUGGAAGACAGUUGGCAGUUUCUCAUAGAGCUAAAGUUCCGGAGACUAGAAAUCCAAGACCAAAGUGCUGGAAAAUUUGUUUACCAGUGAGAGAUUUCUUCUUGGUUUGCAGAUGACCAUCUUCUCGUUUUGUCUUCACAUGGCCCUUCUUCUGUAUCGCCAACACCAACCACCUACUCAGGGACCGUUUGGCUGGGGGUACGUGGGCUGGCUCCCCUGUCCUCCGGAAUCAUGUCUUUCAGAGUUUGUUUAAAUGAGCCAGCAUCUCAAGUCUGGCCAGCCGUGGGACACUUACAACGUCAUUUCUGCCCCUCAAGAUUGUGAACCAGAUUUGGGGAAGUGGUGAGUUCUCCAAGUAUUUCAGACUUUUUCUUCAGUAACCAUUGCAUUAUGAAGACCUAGCCCCAGGGAAGAAGAGAACAUAAACAGCUGGUAUAAAAAAAUAAAUCAAUAAAAAUAAAUAAAAACUUG